rnacentral:misc_RNA from 1 species
GCCAAAUUGGAGGACUGAACACCCCACGACUGAAUGCAGUGGAGAUGAAAGACGGCGAAACAGCGAGAGGAACAGGACCAUGUGGGAUCAGAAGGACGGAUUCUUUCGAGGCAAAUGAGGCAUGAGAGAGCACCAGAACGAGAAGAAGUGAGAAAAGCUUGGAUUUUGAUGAGGUCAUGUUUUUGGUUGUGGUGGUCACCGGAAAGUUCAAGGUAAGACUUGAAGAUGGUGGAAGAGAGGUCGG